ensembl:lncRNA
GUUCACUUACAGACUUUGAGAUGAUCAUAUUUUCAGCUGAAAAUGGAACUGCUUAUGUUUGUUUUUGUAGUUGUAAUUUCAGCUGUCACAGCAGCCGGCCCAACACAAGAUCCUAAUGCAGCUGCUAGUCCUGAGAAUGUGACUGAAGACUCUGACGGCACCCCAGGAGAGCGACAGUCACCACAGCACUGCACCCCAUGAGCACAGAGUGGAAGCCUGCACCUGUCACCUGAGCACGUGUGAUCAGUUGUGUGUGUGUCAAUAAAUCACCCUCCGGGGCCCUUACCA